rnacentral:rRNA from 1 species
GCAAGUUGAACGAGAAUAGUAAAAGCUUGCUUUUACUAGGACAGUAGCGAACGGGUGAGUAAUACGUAAGAAUCUGCCCUUUGGAGGAGGAAAACGGUUGGAAACGACCGCUAAGCCUGCAUAUGCCAUGGGUGAAAGGUCUCUAAGACGAGAUUGCCAAAGGAUGAGCUUACGCCUGAUGAGCUAGUUGGUGGGGUAAAAGCCUACCAAGGCAACGAUCAGUAGCUGGUCUGAGAGGAGGAGC